rnacentral:rRNA from 1 species
GACGUAGGGGGCGAGCGUUGUCCGGAUUUAUUGGGCGUAAAGCGCGCGUAGGCGGCUGCGCAAGUCGGUUGUGAAACCCCGGGGCUCAACCCCGGAACUGCAUCCGAUACUGCGUGGCUAGAGGUAGGUAGGGGAGAUCGGAAUUCCUGGUGUAGCGGUGAAAUGCGUAGAUAUCGGGAGGAACACCAGUGGCGAAGGCGACUUCCUGGCCUGUUCUUGACGCUGAGGCGCGAAAGCUAGGGGAGCAAACGGG